CAUUAGAUGGCUGAAAAAUUAAGCAAUGGUCUCUUAAACCAAAAUAUAGUAAAAUAUACUUCUAAUGA
rnacentral:tRNA from 1 species